AACACUGGAUUUGCCAACAUCCAACAAAGGAACUUUUUAAGAAACAUUGCUCAUUAGGACAGAUUGGGAAUAUAAACUUCUACCAAUGAGAGAAAACAAUCUUCUAACCUUGCUUUUGAUCACAGAGCAUUCGGAAACAUAAAGGACUGAAAUGAAAGCAUUUGACGGCACAUUGCACAUGUAACAUUUCAUAGCUACAUAAUGAACUAUACAGAAGAGAUUUAAAGGAGUAUUUAUCAGUGGGAUUUUCUUUGUCAAAGCAUAAUAUUAUAAUAUCCCGCCCAAAAUGGACUGAUUGGAUUUUGGGUAGAUUGGGCCGAAGCCGGCAAGCCCCACCGGCUUUAGCCCAUGGUCGAAAUGAGACCGAGACAGGGGAUCUCGAUCACGAUACACUAGUAUUCUUCCUCGGGGUAACGGAGGCGUUAUGAGAGUGGAGACGCCGCGGAUCUCGCACAACCGCCACCAGCAUUGCGGCGGUGAGCGAGCCACGAUCACCACCACGUUUCCAUUUCUUCCUUCUUCUCGAAGAGGGCUAUAAAAAGCCCACAGAUCACUUACAUAGGGACUCCAUCGCUCUCUCCUCCUUCGGUGCAAAGGAACUGGACCGGGAGCGACGCCAUUGGAGUAGGAGGUCUCGAGCAGCCGGAGGAGCAACCGAACUACCAGAAGAGGCUUCUCGGCUCCUCCUCGGAGCUAGGUGAUCAAGGAUUUGUCACCCAGACGUAAGAAAUUGGAAAGCAAAUUGCGACAACAUAUUCGGACAUUUAAACAUAUCAACAACUUGCAAGGAUAAGAAAUCAAACAGUA